rnacentral:rRNA from 1 species
UACGUAGGGGGCAAGCGUUGUCCGGAUUUAUUGGGCGUAAAGAGCGUGUAGGCGGCUUGGUAGGUCCGUUGUGAAAACUCGAGGCUCAACCUCGAGACGUCGGUUGAAACCGUAUGGCUAGAGUCCGGAAGAGGAGAGUGGAAUUCCCGGUGUAGCGGUGAAAUGCGCAGAUAUCGGGAAGAACACCCGUGGCGAAGGCGGCUCUCUGGGACGGUACUGACGCUGAGACGCGAAAGCGUGGGGAGCGAACAGG